rnacentral:rRNA from 1 species
CCUACGGGAGGCUGCAGUGGGGAAUAUUGGGCAAUGGACGCAAGUCUGACCCAGCAACGCCGCGUGAAGGAAGAAGGCUUUCGGGUUGUAAACUUCUUUUGCCGGGGAGCAACGGGCGCCACGUGUGGCGCCACUGAGAGUACCCGGAGAAAAAGCAUCGGCUAACUCCGUGCCAGCAGCCGCGGUAAUACGGAGGAUGCGAGCGUUAUCCGGAUUUAUUGGGUUUAAAGGGUGCGUAGGCGGAGCGUUAAGUCAGUGGUCAAAUUGAGGGGCUCAACCCCUUCCCGCCAUUGAAACUGGCGCUCUUGAGUGGAAGAGAAGUAUGCGGAAUGCGUGGUGUAGCGGUGAAAGGCAGAGAUAUCACGCAGAACCCCGAUUGCGAAGGCAGCAUGCCGGCUUCCGACUGACGCUGAAGCACGAAAGCGUGGGGAUCGAACAGGAUUAGAUACCCUGGUAGUC